rnacentral:rRNA from 1 species
UACGAAGGGGGCUAGCGUUGCUCGGAAUCACUGGGCGUAAAGGGUGCGUAGGCGGGUCUUUAAGUCAGGGGUGAAAUCCUGGAGCUCAACUCCAGAACUGCCUUUGAUACUGAAGAUCUUGAGUUCGGGAGAGGUGAGUGGAACUGCGAGUGUAGAGGUGAAAUUCGUAGAUAUUCGCAAGAACACCAGUGGCGAAGGCGGCUCACUGGCCCGAUACUGACGCUGAGGCACGAAAGCGGGGGGAGCAAACAGG